rnacentral:misc_RNA from 1 species
GCUUCCAACUGAUGAUGCCCUGCUUACCCAAAUCAGAGAGGGAUUUGGUGAAGGGAAGGAUCUGGUGGUGAGUGUGAUGUCUGCUAUGGGUGAGGAGCAGAUCUGCGGUCUCAAGGAUAUUGGCCCCAAGUAAAUGAUUGGUUUAUUUAUUAGUAUAAUAGAUCCUAAUUAUAAUGGGUCUAUUUUGAACUUAAAAAUUUAUAUAGUUGGGGUGGAAACUGAAAUUUGGGCCGUGAUUGCUAGGUGCAUGAUGCCUAAGGGUAAGGGUGUGUUUUUAUUUAUUACUGUUCUAAAGACCUGGAUUAUGUUUGCUUUGUUAUAUUUGUUUAUUUGACUCUAAUGUUUGACA